rnacentral:rRNA from 1 species
UACGUAGGGACCAAGCGUUGUUCGGAUUUACUGGGCGUAAAGGGCGCGUAGGCGGCAAUUCAAGUCAUCUGUGAAAUCUCCGGGCUUAACUCGGAACGGUCAGGUGAUACUGCUUUGCUAGAGUGCGGAAGGGGCAAUCGGAAUUCCUGGUGUAGCGGUGAAAUGCGCAGAUAUCAGGAGGAACACCGGUGGCGAAGGCGGGACUCUGGGCCGAUACUGACGCUGAGGAGCGAAAGCGUGGGGAGCAAACAGG